rnacentral:lncRNA from 1 species
CAGAGUGUUAACAUUGAUUUUCUGGAGAAGGAAAGGCAAUAUGAAUACGGAAACAAUUUUUUAAAAAGGCAUUUAGGGACACCUGGGUGACUCAGUCAGUUAAGAGUCCACCUUGGGCUCAGGUUAUAAUCCCAGGGUCCUGGGAUUGGAUCCCACAUUGGGUUCCUUGUUCAAAGGGGAGCUUACUUCUCUCUCUGCUCUCCCCCAGCUCGUUCUCUCUCUCUCUCUCUCUCUCUUUCUCUCUCAUGUGCACAUUGUGCGUGCACAAAAAAAAUAAAAAUACUUAAAAAAAUAAAAAGGCAUCUAGGAUAAUAACCAUUUUUGCCAACUUUUUGUAAACUAACACUUGUGUGUGCAUAUAAAUGCAUAGAAAGGCAGACCAAGGGACAGACAUCAACAUUAUAAGGGUGAAUUUUCUCAGAGUAGGAGGAUUUCAGUUGAUUUUAAUUGUCUUUCUUUUUCUUUUCAGCAAACUUAAAUUUUUACCGUGAUCAACAUUAUUUUUUUCAUUGUGGGGGAGAAAAGUUGUGUGUGGGGGUCAGAACCAGCAUUUUAAACACACUCUCCAGGCCACUUGUUCGCCGACUGACAUUUGAGAACUUGUCUCCAUUAUCCUUAGGCUGUGUUGUUUCACAUGGUCUCCUCCUCUGGAAGACAUAGUGGGUCAGCAACAACCCGCCUUCUAAUCAGAGAUGGCUGUGCCAGCUGGAGGACCGAUUGCCUCACACACCUUGGAGGCCCAGGCAGGAAGGAAGGUGGGCCUUGGCUANNNNNNNNNNNNNNNNNNNNNNAAGAGAUCUUUCUUGGAGGUAGGCCCUGCGCACCUGUGCCUUCUUGGACCCAGGACUGCCAAGAGGAGAUGGCCAUUGACAAGGAGCAGUUGCUACCAUGAGCAUUGCAUCUUGAGAAGGAGCCAGAGAACAGCAGGAAGGUGA